rnacentral:rRNA from 1 species
GAUGAACGCUGGCGGCGUGCCUAAUACAUGCAAGUCGAGCGAACAGACGAGGAGCUUGCUCCUCUGACGUUAGCGGCGGACGGGUGAGUAACACGUGGAUAACCUACCUAUAAGACUGGGAUAACUUCGGGAAACCGGAGCUAAUACCGGAUAAUAUAUUGAACCGCAUGGUUCAAUAGUGAAAGACGGUUUUGCUGUCACUUAUAGAUGGAUCCGCGCCGCAUUAGCUAGUUGGUAAGGUAACGGCUUACCAAGGCAACGAUGCGUAGCCGACCUGGGAGGGUGAACCGCCAAACUGGAACUGAGGCAACGUCCAGACUCCCAAGGGAAGGCAGCGGAAGGGAACUUUCGGAAAUGGCGGAAAGCUUAAGGGAGCAACGCGCGGUAGGUGUGGAAGUUCUUCGAAUGUUAAACCCUUUUUAUUGGGAAAGAAAAAUGUUGAAGUUAACAAUGCCGGCUUGAACGGUACUAAAUCAGAAAGCAACGCCUACCUACUU